ACAGCUAUCGUUUAUUGGAACCUAUAAUCCUACUUGGAUAACUGUGGCAAUUCUAGAGCUAAUACACGCAGCAAAGUGGGGACCUUACGGAACCCAUGCAUUUAUUAGAACAAAACCAAUCGGUCCUAUUCUUGGGUCCGUAGUUUGGUGAAUCUGGAUAACUCUGCCAAUCGCAUGGUCUAAGAACCGGCGAUAUAUCUUUCAAAUGUCUGCCUUAUCAACUUUCGAUGGUAGUUUAUGCGCCUACCAUGGUUGUAACGGGUAACGGAGAAUCAGGGUUCGACUCCGGAGAGGGAGCCUGAGAAACGGCUACCACAUCCAAGGAAGGCAGCAGGCGCGCAAAUUACCCACUCUCGGGACGAGGAGGUAGUGACGAAAAAUAUCGAGAGGUUCUCUACGAGGACCAUCAUCGGAAUGAGUACAAUUUAAAACCUUUAACGAGGAUCUAUUGGAGGGCAAGUCCGGUGCCAGCAGCCGCGGUAAUUCCGGCUCCAUUAGUAUAUAUUAAAGUUGUUGCGGUUAAAAAGCUCGUAGUUGGUUUUCUGGCUUUGGGCGGCGGUCACCCAAUGGGUUGCUACUGUCGCACCAGGCCUCGCUCACCUCUAGUUCAUCCGAGGGUGCUCUUAAUUGCGGUGUCCUCGGUGGCUAGAAAUGUUACUUUGAAAAAAUUAGAGUGCUCAAAGCAAGCGUUUAGCUUGAAUAGUGGUGCAUGGAAUAAUGGAAUAGGACCUCGGUUCUAUUUUGUUGGUUUUCGGAGCUUGAGGUAAUGAUUAAUAGAGACUGACGGGGGCAUUCGUAUCGCGGUGUUAGAGGUGAAAUUCUUGGAUCACCGCGAGACGAACUACUGCGAAAGCAUUUGCCAAGAAAGUCUUCAUUAAUCAAGAACGAAAGUUAGAGGUUCGAAGGCGAUCAGAUACCGCCCUAGUUCUAACCGUAAACGAUGCCAACUAGCGAUCCGCGGGCGUUAAAUUGCAUGACUUCGCGGGGAGCUUCCGGGAAACCAAAGUUUUUGGGUUCCGGGGGAAGUAUGGUUGCAAAGCUGAAACUUAAAGGAAUUGACGGAAGAGCACACAAGGAGUGGAGCCUGCGGCUUAAUUUGACUCAACGCGGGAAAACUCACCCGGCCCGGACACCGUAAGGAUUGACAGAUUGAGAGCUCUUUCUUGAUUCGGUGGGUGGUGGUGCAUGGCCGUUCUUAGUUGGUGGAGCGAUUUGUCUGGUUAAUUCCGAUAACGAACGAGACUCUAGCCUACUAACUAGUCAAUAAAUCGCUAGUUUAUUGUACUUCUUAGAGGGACGAGAGGUGUCUAACCUCGCGAAAGAGAGCAAUAACAGGUCUGUAAUGCCCUUAGAUGUCCGGGGCUGCACGCGCGCUACAUUGAAGAAAGCAACUGGCAUUUUCCCCGAUUUGUAAAGAUUGGGAAACCCAUUGAAAUUUCUUCGUACUUGGGAUAGGGACUUGUAAUUAUUUUCCUUGAACGAGGAAUUCCUAGUAAGUGCGGGUCAUCAUCUCGCGUUGAUUACGUCCCUGCUCUUUGUACACACCGCCCGUCGCUACUACCGAUUGGAUGAUUUAGUGAGGCCUUCAGACUGGUGCCGAGGCGGCUUAACGGCUGCGUCGGUUGCCGGAAAG
rnacentral:rRNA from 1 species